GACCAUACUGGGACCAGUAGGGCCAGCCUGGAGAGUCCUGGACCAUACUGGGACCAGUACAGCCAUGCCUCUGAAGGGUCCCCAGUAUGCUGGGACCAGUAAGGCCAGCCUGGAGAGUCCCAGAUCAUGUUGGGACCAGUACAGCCAUGCCCCUGAAGGGUCUCCACCAUGCUGGGACCAGUAGGGCCAGCCUGGAAAGUCCCAGAACAUACUGGGACCAGUACAGCCAACCUGGAGGGUCCUGGACCAUACUGGGACCAGUACAGCCACCCUGGAGGGUCCCCACCAUGCUGGGACCAGUAGGGCCAGCCUGGAGAGCCCCAGAACAUACUGGGACCAGUAAGGCCAGCCUGGGAAGUCCUGGAUCACGUUGGGACCAGUAGGGCCACCCCCUGAAGGGUCCCCAUCAUGCUGGGACCAGUAGGGUCAACCUGGAGGGUCCCCACCAUACUCGGCCACGGGAUGCGGAUUUUGUGGCCUCAGGAUGCAGGAUGCGUGGCCACGGGAUGCGGAUUUUGUGGCCUCAGGAUGCAGGAUGCUUGGCCACAGGAUGCGGGAUGUGCAGCUGUGGAUGCUCAACCAUGGGAUGUGGGAUACGUGGCCAAAGGAUGCAGGAUGUGCAGCUGUGGGAUGCUCGGCCAUGGGAUGCGGAUUUUGUGGCCUCAGGAUGCAGGAUACGUGGCCACGGGAUGUGGGAUGUGCAGCCGUGGGAUGCUCAACCAUGGGAUGCGGGAUGCCCGGCCACAGGAUGCAGAUUGUGUGGCCACAGGAUGCAGAUUGUGUGGCCACAGGAUGCAAGAUACGUGGCCACAGGAUGCAGGAUGUGCAGCCACGGGAUGCUCAACCAUGGGAUGCUGGAUGCUCAGCCAUGGGAUGCAGAUUGUGUGGCCACAGGAUGCAGGAUGUGCAGCUGUGGAUGCUCAGCCAUGGGAUGCAGGAUGCCUGGCCACGGAAUGCAGAUUGUGUGGAUGCAGGAUUCAGGAUGCCCAGCCACAGGAUGUGGGAUGCCUGGCCAGGGGAUGCGGGAUGUGCAGCCACGGGAUGCAGAUUGUGUGGCCACAGGAUGCAGGAUGUGCAGCUGUGGAUGCUCAACCACAGGAUGCAGGAUGCCUGGCCAUGGGAUGCAGGAUAUGCAGCCGUGGGAUGCUCAACCACGGGAUGCAGGAUGUGCAGCUGUGGAUGCUCCACCACAGGAUGCGGGAUGCUCGGCCAUGGGAUGCAGGAUGUGCAGCCGUGGGAUGCCCAGCCAUGGGAUGCAGGAUGCUUGGCCACGGGAUGCAGAUUGUGUGGAUGCAGGAUGCAGGAUUCUCGGCUGCAGGAUGCAGAUUGUGUGGCCACAGGAUGCAGGAUGUGCAGCCACGGGAUGCUCGGCCACGGGAUGCAGAUUGUGUGGCUGCAGGAUGCGGGAUGUCCAGCCAUGGGAUGCAGGAUGGUUGGCCACGGGAUGCAGGAUGUGCAGCCAUGAGAUGCCCAGCCACGGGAUGCGGGAUGCUCGGCCAUGCAGCCAUGGGAUGCAGGAUGGUUGGCCACGGGAUGCAGGAUGUGCAGCCAUGAGAUGCCCAGCCACGGGAUGCGGGAUGCUCGGCCAUGGG
rnacentral:lncRNA from 1 species